CGAGUUUUCUGGUAAGGGCGUACGGUGGAUGCCUAGACUGAAGAAAGCGAUGAAGGACGUGGCAUGGCUGCGAUAAGCUCCGGGAAAAUGCCUAGCAAUUGCUAUAUCCGGAGAUUUCCGAAUGGGACAACCCCAUUGCGUAAACCGCAAUGACUCAACGAAUAAACCCGUUGAGAGCUUACCUUGGGAAGUGAAACAUCUCAGUACCAAGAGGAAAAGAGAACAAUAGUUAUUCCCCUAGUAGCGGCGAGCGAAAAGGGAGGAGCCCAAACUCAACCACAAUAUCGGCGCGCGACGAAAGUCGCGAAACGAUAUUGGGGAUGGGGGUUAUAAGGCUACAACGCUGGAAACAGGUAGAGUCACAAAAUGCUGAGUUAGAGGAAUCUGCUGGGAAGCAGAGCCCCAGAGGGUAAUAGCCCCGUAUUCGAAAACAAAGCAUCUCUAUGGUUGUAGUUCUUGAGUAACUCGAGACACGAAUAGCUCGGGUGAAUUCGCCAGGACUAACUGGUAAGGCUACAUAUUUCUUCAGAUCGAUAGUGAACUAGUACCGUGAGGGAAAGGUGAAAAGAACCCCGGUGAGGGGAGUGAAAUAGAACUGAAACCGUAUGUCUACAAGGAGUCGGAGUGGCUUAAGCCACGACGGCGUGCCUAUUGAAGAAUGAGCCAACGAGUUAAUGCAAUCGGCUUGGUUAAGGGGUAAUCCCCCCGAGCCGCAGCGAAAGCGAGUGUGAAUAGCGCGUUUGUCGAUUGUAUUAGACCCGAAGCAAGGUGAGCUACCCAUGAGCAGGCUGAAGUUCCUAGAAAUAGGGAUGGAGGGCCGAACCCGUAGAUUGUGCAAAAUCUUGGGAUGACUUGUGGGUUGGAGUGAAAAGCUUAUCGAACCUUGUAAUAGCUGGUUCUCUCCGAAAGAGCUUUCGGGCUUGCGUCGUAUGUUCCCUGUGGGGGUAGAGCACUGGAAGGUCUGGAUAGGUCGCAAGACCACUGGACCUAUCAAACUCCGAAUACCACAGGCUAAAAUACGGCAGUUAGACGAUGGGGGCGAAGCUCCAUACGUCAAAAGGGAAACAGCCCAGAUCGCAAUCUAAGGUCCCUAAAUUAACGCUAAGUGCAAAUAAGGAGGUGAGAUUUCUCAGACAAUGAGGAUGUUGGCUUAGAAGCAGCCACCAUUCAAAGAAAGCGUAACAGCUCACUCAUCUAGAGAUCUCGCGCCACAAAUGAUCGGGGCUAAGCGUUGUACCGAAGAUGCGGAUUUAACCUCUUGAUUGAGGUUGAGUGGUAGGAGAGCGUUUUACGUGCGAUGAAGGCAAAGGGGUGACCCAUGCUGGAGCGCGUGGAAGUGAAAAUGUUGGCACGAGUAACCGCAAUGCAGGUGAGAUUCCUGCACAUCGAAAGAACAAGGUUUCCUUCGCAAUGGAGAUCAACGAAGGGUUAGUCGGUCCUAAGCCAAUGGCAAACGCCGCAGGCGAUGGAUACACGGUUAAUAUUCCGUGACUUGUGUGUAGAGUGAUGGAGGGACGGAGCGCUGUAUUCACACCCCCUUAUUGGAUUGGGGGUCAGGUAGUGAUUGUGCUUGCUAGGUAAAUCCGGCAGGUAAACGAGAAUUAUCUGUAGAAGUGGAGAUUCGUCAAAGCGAAUUGUGAGGAGCGCGCUUCCAAGAAAAACUUCUAAGCUUAUCUAUAUACAAACCGUACCGCAAACCGACACAGGUGUUCAGGGCGAGUAGCCUAAGAUGAACGGGUGAGAGAUCCUCAAGGAACUCGGCAAAAAAGCGACCGUACGUUCGCAAUAAGGUCCGCACUCAGCAAUGAGUGCCGCAGCUAAAGAUUCCCAAUCGACUGUUUACCAAAAACACAGCUCCCUGCAAACUCGUAAGAGGAAGUAUAGGGGGUGAUGCCUGACCAAUGCCGGAAGGUCAAGUGAGGUCGGUCUCAAGCAGCAAUGCUUGUUGCUGGCACUUCAUAAGCCCCGGUCAAUGUCGGCGAUAACUAUAAUCGUCCUAAGGUAGCGAAAUUCCUUGUCUGGUAAGUUCAGACGCGCACGAAUGGUAUAACGAGUUGGGAACUGUCUCGAGGAUUUGCCCGGUGAAAAUACAAGGGCGGUGAAGAUGCCGCCUUCCUGCAGCUAGACGAAAAGACCCCAGAAGCUUUACUGUAAUUUGGUAUUGAGGAUACGAUUUCUCCGCGUAGCGUAAGAGGGAGACUUUGAAGCAGAGGUUUAGGCCUCUGUGGAGUCGCCAAUGCAACACCUCUCCUAGAAAUUGUAUUUUCUAACUUCUACGGCAAAACCGUAAAAAGACAGUACCUGAUGGACAGUUUCGGUGGGGCGCUGUCCUCCUAAAAAGUAACGGAGGAGCCUAUUAAGGUUACCUAGUCGCGAAUGGAAACCGUGACGAUAGUGCAUUGGCAUAAGGUAGCUUGACUGCAAGUCGUACGUGACGAGCAGGCGCGAAAGCGGAGCAAAGUGAACCGACGGUCCGCAUUAGAUGCGACCGAAGAUUAACGGAUAAAAGUUACUCUGGGGAUAACAGGCUGGUAUUGCCUAAGCGUCCAUAGCGACGGCAAUGUUCGGCACCUCGAUGUCGGCUCAUCUUAUCCCGGGGCUGAAGAAGGUCCCAAGGGUAUGGCUGUUCGCCAUUUAAAAAGGUACGUGAGCUGGGUUCAAACCGUCGUGAGACAGGUUGGUCUUAAUCUGCUGCAGGCGUUGAUUCUUGAGGAGAUUCGUUUCUAGUACGAGAGGACCGAAAUGAACUGACCUCUGGUCUGGGGGCUGUCACGCCAGUGGCACCGCCCCGUAGCUAUGUCGGGAAUGGAUAACCGCUGAAAGCAUCUAAGCGGGAAGCCAGCUCCAAGAUAAGGAAUCGUUAUAGACCCGUGGGAGAUGACCACGUUGAUAGGCACUAGGUGUACGCACAGCGAUGUGCUCAGCCGAGGUGUACUAAUACGUCGACAGAUCUCUCGUU
rnacentral:rRNA from 1 species